AUGUUAACUCUGAAACAAAGUGAUUUGCCAGAUGAGGUUUAUUGGAAACUAGACAGGUCGGGCAAAUAUAAUACAAAGUCCAUGUACACAUGGCUAGAGAGGGAUAUUGCAGGAUCUAACUUUAAAUGGAUCUGGGAUGCAAAACUGCCUCUUAAAAUAAAAAUAUUCUUGUGGCAGAUGGCACAGAAUGCCAUCCUGACUAGGGACAACAUGAAAAAAAGAUUAUGGCCAGGGGAUUCUUGCUGUUCUUUUUGUGACUAAUUAGAAACAACUUAACACUUGAUGUUCUUGUGCCCUGUUUCCAGGGUGGUGUGGAGAACCGUAGGUUCCGUGCUUGGAACUGAUUGCUGCCCUAAUACUAUCUGGCAAUACUAUGUGUGGAUGUAUAGUUUCUUACCUGGGCUGGACAAAAUAUACACCAUUGGCUUGGCUGCUAUAUGUUGGGCUAUUUGGCUGGCCAGGAACUGA
rnacentral:rRNA from 1 species